rnacentral:tRNA from 1 species
AACUCAGGAGAAUGUUAGAGCGCACGCCUGAUAAGCGUGAGGUCGGUGGUUCGAUUCCACUCGUGCCCA